rnacentral:rRNA from 1 species
UGAAGCAUCCUGUUAAGUCAGGCAACGAGCGAGACCCACGCCCACAGUUGCCAGCGUACUCUCUGGAGUGACGGGUACACUGUGGGGACCGCCGCUGCUAAAGCGGAGGAAGGAAUGGGCAACGGUAGGUCAGUAUGCCCCGAAUAUCCCGGGCUACACGCGAGCUACAAUGGUUGGUACAAUGGGUAUCUACCCCGAAAGGGGGACGGGAAUCUCCUAAAACCAAUCUUAGUUCGGAUUGAGGGCUGCAACUCGCCCUCAUGAAGCUGGAAUCCGUAGUAAUCGCGUUUCAACAGAACGCGGUGAAUACGUCCCUGCUCCUU